GGUAUAAUUGUAAAAAAUGAUUAAAAAUACUAUUUUCCUUGCUUGCCUUAAAAAUUGUGCAAAUUUCAAAUAGGUCACUUAGGAGUGGGACGGAGGGAGUAUUAUGGUAGCUACACUUGAGAUUAUUUUGAUAGGUGUAGAUGGAGAAAAGACAAACGUUGUUUAGCAACUUAGCUCAUGGAACUGAUAAUGUGAUGCUUAAAUUUUAAUUAUUAAAACUAAAGCUAGAUUACCCCUUCUUUUUUAUUGCAAUCUCUAAUAGAACUAGUAUCAAGGUAGCUGACUGUGUUGCAAAUUCUGCUGGAAAGACAGUCUCAUGAACAGAGAUUUCCAUCACCCCCACCACCCAUUACUUACAUUUUCACCUCAUGCCCUUGUAGACUAAUAUGUAUGUAGUAGACGUUCCUUACCCUUCUCUGUCUGAAUCCAUUUAAGAGAAGUGCUAUAAAUUUCAAGAUUGUGUCUAUCAGUCUAUGUAGAAACCAAACAAAAAUCUUGGAAACAAAAUACUGAUUUUUAACAUCAUGGGUUAGUUCAAGUUUUCCUUACUAACUUAAUAGCACAAUUUCUGGAUUAUUUCCAAUUUUUACCUUGAAAACAAGGCGUGUUUGUACACUUUUCUGAGUUUUGGGAGAAUUAGAGAUAGAAAUUAUAAGGUAUGACAACAAUUUGAAAGUUCUGCUGCAGUGAUCUUCUUCACAUCAUAACCCCGAUACUGAACAUCAUUGAGAUCUGCAGACACUGCAAGUAUUGCUAUGUUUUUUCUCUUCUUGAUUGUUAAUUUUGGAAUAAUAUCAGGGUUUUACUUUCCAACUUCAUGUUGCUUUAUCAUGGUAUUUAUCCACCAUUGCUGUAUGGUCAUAUUAUUAUACAUUUACUUAGUGUAAGAAUGAGACAUCUGUUCCGAACAUUUUGUGCCCAUGGAUAUAGGUGAGCCGGAGCUGGAACAUUAGAAUCUUCAAGGAUCUCCAUUUUCCCCCAAACUAUCCUUACCAGUUUGAAUAACAUCACGGCUCCUUUUGGCUUGGCAAAGUCCUAGUGAAAUACGUACAAUGUAGGUCCUUGUGCAGGGGAGUUAUCAUUCAUCCUUUUGCACUACCUCUCCUCCCGGUCAUGAAAUUCUACGUUGUUCUGGCAACGGACUUGCUCAAGUUGCUUCUGCAAGAGACAUACCAUAUCUAUCAGUGUCACUCGCACCACUUAGGCUAAGUCUUAUGGGCUAGAUAUCUAGCUGCUAGAUUGGCCAUCCACGUCGGCCUGGGCAACCUCCUAAGUCUUAUGGUGUGUCUAAUCUAGCAGAUAAUCGCUGAAUAGAACGGCAUUGGGCGCCUAAUGAUUCGGCACGAACACAUUUCCUUCUUUCCCGGCAUGAAAAAGUACGAGAUAGUUUAUAUAAAAAUUGUUUGUAUUUCUUCUCUAUCCCAUACGGGACCACUAGACCAUGUCAGACAAUAUACAUAUUACGUUCAUCAAAGACAAUAUGCAUCACUAGUCCAUAGGGGUUAGCCUCAAUGCACAAACAAAAACUAAAAAGGGAACAACAAAAAUGAGCAAAAAUUACUUCCUCACUGGUCCUAAAUUUAUAUGAGAAAAUGAAUUUCCUUCUUUUUCUUUAAUGGGCCGGCACUGUCUGCGGCAGUCUAUCUUCACCGGAAGUGCUUCAGCUAUAUCCCAUCCAACUCCAAAGAUUUUUACCGUAUAAAUUCAUUAUUACAGCAGCAGAAUAGAAAUAUUUUUAACCAUCCUCUAAGAAAGUAAUAAAACCCCCAUCCACUCAAAUAUAUUUAAAUCAAAAAAGUUGUCCGUUUUGUACUCUUCCUCUACUAGUGAUUUCUAGCCCUAGGGCAAAAUAUUGUUGUUGCAAAUGGAGAAGAAGACGGCUGCUGCUGCUGGUGGUGAUGAUAAACAGCCGCCGCCUCCUGAGAAGAGUUUAAUGAUACCUCCAGAUGAAGAACGCUGUUGCAGAAACGAUGGAGUCAGAUGGAGAUGUACCAAACCCAGGAUGAAUCUUGGUGUUUCUAAGGAUGAUGAUGGUCUUGAUACUAAGUAUUGUGACAACCAUUACAAUUUCUUUAAAGAGCGGAAUAAGAACAAUAAGCAGCAGCCUGAGAACAAUCAGCAGCAGCAGAAGAAGCACAAGAAGAAGAAGAAGAAGAGAAGAAGAAGAAAACUGGUAGUGAAGAUGCUGAUGAUUCUAGUAGCAGUGGUACAGAAACUUGGGAUUCAACUUUCUUGGAUUGGAAGAAGGUAAAGUACCAUGGAAAGGGAAUUCGACCAGCUCCUACUACUAAUGAUACCACCUCUGAUAUAGAAGGUGGUUCUGCCAAAGUUGGGACCAAGAGGAAAACACCGGAAAGAAAGGAAUUGUCUGGAGAGGUAGAUUUUACAGAUUUUUUAAUAGAAAAACCUUCUUUGAUCACUUCAAAUAAGAUGAAGCUGCCUCCAGAUGAACAGUAUUGUUGUCACACAACUGGUAAUGGAUAUAGAUGCAAGAAUUUUAGGAUGAGUCAUGGUGCUGCUGAUGAUGCUAGUGUUCCUAAGACCAAAUUUUGUGAAAAAAAUUACAAUUAUUAUUCAAAUUAUAUUAAGAAUCGUAAGAAGAAGAAGAAGAAGAAGAGGAUGGAGAAGAUGAAGCUGCCUCCAGAUGAACAGCGUUGUUGUCUGCUGCUGAUACUAGUAUUCCUAAGACCAAAUUUUGUGAAAAACAUUACAACUAUUAUUCAAGUUAUAAUAAGAAUUAUUAUUAUAGCAAGAAGAAGAGAAGUGGAGAUGGUGAAGGUGCAGCUGGUCCUAUUGGGAUGAAAGGGAAAACUGUGGAAAGAACGGAAGGGUCUGGAGAACCAGAAUCAUCAACAAAACCUAGGGGACCUAUGGUUAAAUUUGAGAGUAUGGAAAAUCAUAAGAGCAGGUGUCUAUGGAGCUUGAGAAGAAGAAAAUGGAGUGCAUUAAACUCCAGGCUGAAUUAGUGGAUGUAAAGGCUAGAAAGAAUGCUGCUAAAGAUGGGACUGAAUGGGCGCUUGAAGAUGCACCUGAAUAUUGGAGGAAGAUGUUUUUCGGUUUGGAGAAUCGAGUUCUGAGGAUAGAAAAUGAAAAUUCAACAAUGAGAUGUGUAGAGUCUCGUCUUUCUAGUUUGGAGAGCCUAGUCCUGAGGAAUGGAAAGGGUAAUUCAAAGUUGAGAUGUGUAGAUUUACGUAACAGAGUGUCUGAAACGCGAUGUUUGCAGAAUGAUGUUACUCAAAGUGGUGAAAAACAAAGAUAUAAAGACUACAUGAGCAAGCCUAAUGCUGGAACCAGCAGAGGGGGAGACAAGGAUUCUUAUGUGUCAUAAAUGCAAACAGAAGAGAAGAUGCUGAAAAAUGUGUACGACAUUGGCAGUGGCAGCAAUAAACGUCAUGAAUUGGAGUCUGAAUUUCCCCAAUACUCUCCUGUUAACAUAUCAUCUAUAAGUGGGGAUUUAUCAAGUGGGGCUGAAAAUGUCAAAGAAGGGAAGGUUUUGGGGGCUGUGGGGAGGAGACACCAUCCCAAGCUCAUUCUGCAAUGGGUAAGAAGCCUUUUGUGAAAUUGGUCUCAGAUAGCGGUGGUGAAUCUUUGGGGGAAGAUUCUGAUACUUCUGAUUCAGAAGAUUCUCUUGCUGACCUUAUGGACAUGAUAGCGAUGAAAUGUAGGAACAGUAAGGAUGACAGAAAUAAAAUGGAAGUUUGAGUCUGACAUGCUUUCUUCAUUUGAAGAGGAUCCUGAGCUAUGUCUGAAAGCUGUUUGUGCUCUCCAACGACAGCAAACAUCUGAAGACGCCAAGCGGUUGUUCCAUUAUAGUGAUGCGCUUCGGGGUACUACUUUGGCCAAGUUUCUAAUGGAUGGAGCCUGCGCAGGCGACCUCAAGAAGUCUGUUAAAGAGUUGGAGACCUUCGAUUCCAAAGCGGUUGAAGACUGUAAGAGGCUGGCUAGAAGUUACUCGAAGCAGUUAUUCAGUAUCUACCAAAACAAAAAAGAUCCUUAUUUCCUUCCUACUACAACUGCCAGCCAAUGAGAUCAAACUACUAAAUGAUAGAUUGCUGUGUAAGUGGCCUUCACUUUUUUUGACUAGGCAUUACAACCUUGCAUUUCCUUUUAAACUCCCCAAAUUUUGACUCUCCAAUGCAGCGAGUGAUGCUAUAUUAUAUGGUAGCUAUACUUGUUUAGCUCAUGGAACUGAUAUUGAGAUGUGUAAAAUCUUGUUACUGAAAUUAAAGCAAGCUAGAC